rnacentral:miRNA from 1 species
GACGUCGAUAUACGACGUCAUAAACACGAUCAACUUUGGUGUUUAUGACGUCGAUAUUCGACGUCAUAAACACAAUCAAAUUUGGUAUUUAUGAAGUCGAUAUUCGACGUAAUAAACACGUUCAACUUUGCUGUUUAUGACGUCGAUAUUCGACGUCAGAAACACGAUCAACUUAGGUGUUUAUGACGUCGAUAUACGGCGUCAUAAAGACGAUCAACUUUGGUGUUUAUGACGUCGAUAGUCGACGUC